CGACCCAGGAACAGAAGGUUGCUAGCGCGUCAACCCCCGGGGGAAAGCAAUCAUUUUCCAUAUUGUAUUCACCGAUUCAUCCUCUCGUCUCUAUCUCCCUUCUUACCAUUCAUCCUCUUUUAAUCUCUCAUGGCCUCCCUCCGACGAUCCCUGGGCGGCGACGGCUAGAGCUCCGAGGGCGGUGGAGGCCGACGGGAUCGAGAACGGCCAGAAGGAGACGGAGCGGCAUCUCUCCCCGGCGAUCUCUGCACGGCAGCGGCUGGAGCACCGAGGGUGAUGGCGGAGCUAGGUGAGGAAGGAGAGGGCGGCACCACAACUUCAGAUCCGCCAGCUGGAAGAGUCAUCCAGAUUUUCUCCCCGGCGAGGAGGUGACAGGGUGGUGGGGCGGUGUUUCUCCCUGGUGACCCCUUGGCGACGGUGGCUAGAGCACCAAGGGCGACUACGGCUGGAGCAACGAGGGCGGCAAAGGCAGACAGGAUCAAGAGAGGCAAGGAGGAGACAAUUGUUGAUGGCAGUCAUCCAGAUUUUCAUGCAACCAUUCGAUCUAUUUUAUCCUUUUAUGCUUAAUAUGUACUAACAAGGUCAGAACAUCUCAAGUUUGUAGCACAUGCUCUAAGUUUCACGUAUAGAAAAAAACACAUGAAGUGCUUGAACACAA